CUACGGGACGCUGCAGUGAGGAAUAUUGCACAAUGGGGGGAACCCUGAUGCAGCAACGCCGCGUGGAGGAUGACGCAUUUCGGUGUGUAAACUCCUUUUAUAUGUCAAGAAAAUGACGGUAGCAUAUGAAUAAGCGCCGGCUAACUCCGUGCCAGCAGCCGCGGUAAUACGGAGGGCGCAAGCGUUACUCGGAAUCACUGGGCGUAAAGGACGCGUAGGCGGGUUGAAAAGUCAGGUGUGAAAGCCUACAGCUUAACUGUAGAACUGCACUUGAAACUCUCAACCUAGAGUAUGGGAGGGGCAGAUGGAAUUAGUGGUGUAGGGGUAAAAUCCGUAGAUAUCACUAGGAAUACCUAAAGCGAAGGCGAUCUGCUGGAACAUUACUGACGCUAAGGCGUGAAAGCGUGGGGAGCAAACAGGAUUAGAUACCCCGGUAGUC
rnacentral:rRNA from 1 species